CCCUACUGCUGGUACACCCUCACUGACCUUUCUGCAGAUGUCAAACAAAAAAAGGCAUGAAGCCAGGGAAGAGAAGAGGCAGGAGGAUCAUCAGGCGGCGGGCAGGCAGGCACUACUCAUCCUGUCCCAGUUUCGCAGUUUUCUCAGAUGUCAUGUGACAGGGCGAAGGGACGAGGAACCGUGAAAACGGAGAGAAUUGCUUCCCCAAAACCCCUUGCUGCUGGAUGUGUCCAUGGCAAGAAACAGGCAGGUGCAUUCAAAUGAUGUCUCAUUUAAUCUGCGUCUGAGACUCCCAGAAAGGAGGGGGAGCUGUGUUUGUCUGUGCUGCUGCGAUUCUUGGCGUGUGAGACAACCCCAGGAAACAGUCAUGACCAUGCGACCCUUCAGGCAGCCAAGCACUGAGAGAUUUUUGGGAUGGGGCGGCCUUGAGGUGCACGUGUUGGAGUCACAUGGGUGGAGCCUGGGGCGGGGAGACCAAUGACGAGAACCGUUCAUGUUCACCUUUGGUGUUCGACUCAGCUUGUUCUCUGGACGGAGGCCUCAGACAAAAGAAUGCCGAAACAUAUGGGCGCA